rnacentral:rRNA from 1 species
ACGGGAGGCAGCAGUGGGGAAUAUUGGGCAAUGGGCGAAAGCCUGACCCAGCAAUGCCGCGUGAAGGAAGAAGGUCUUCGGAUUGUAAACUUCUUUUAUGAGGGACGAAGGAAUUGACGGUACCUCAUGAAUAAGCCACGGCUAACUACGUGCCAGCAGCCGCGGUAAUACGUAGGUGGCAAGCGUUAUCCGGAUUUACUGGGUGUGAAGGGCGCGUAGGCGGGGAAGCAAGUCAGAUGUGAAAUCUAUGGGCUUAACUCAUAAACUGCAUUUGAAACUGUUUCUCUUGAGUGCUGGAGAGGCAGAUGGAAUCCCUAGUGUAGCGGUGAAAUGCGUAGAUAUUAGGAAGAACACCAGUGGCGAAGGCGAUCUACUGGACAGUAACUGACGCUGAGGCGCGAAAGCGUGGGGAGCAAACAGGAUUAGAUACCCUGGUA